AUAGAAAAAUAGGCUUGGCUUACUCCACAAUUGAACAAAACAUCAAUCUACGUUUGAAUUUUGUUCAAAAAAUCCGAAAAAAAAAAAAAUUGAUUUUCGUGUCGUAAGAAAAAACGAAUUGGGGAAGAAGAAAGUUUGUUUAUUAUUUCUUUUCGAAAAAAAAUGUUUUUGCUCAGUUUGACUACUUUACUUGAUCAUAUUAUCAUUCUAUUUUAUCAUACUAAUUUCUAUUCUACCUUCCCCGAAAUCAUUCUUCAGGAAAUUCCAUGUAAAACAUUUCACGAAUUCCUUUCAAUUUCCUUAUUUUUAUUUUAGAAUGUCAUUGGAAAUCAUAUAAAGACAAUUCCUAUUUAAUAUAGCUAUUUGUGCAAGUAUUUUACGAUUAAGAAGUAACUGUCUCUUGUACAGAUUGUUUAUUAAUCUACUAUAACUAUAGGAUACCGUGCUCUCGCGAAUUACUGCAUUUAUCCGAGUAACCCACAAACGACGAAAAUUUCUUUUUUGCCUAUCUCUAUCCCGAUGGGCCGAAACCAAAGCUCUUAUUUUUUGUUGAAUAAUAGUUCGAGUAAGUCUUGAAUGGGCCCCGCGAAAGCUUGAUGCGAAUAGACGAAUUUUUGUUCUACGCCUUCGAGCUAUAUAUCCUCGUCUAAUUCUGGUCAUUGAAUAAACGAAAUUUUGAUGAAUAACUAAUUGAUUUCCUUUCUUUCAGUUAUUCUUUUCCCCUUUUCUAUAAUAACAAAACGGAUUCUUCCAAUGUAUAAAAUAAUAAUUCCAACGGCUUUUGCUACUAUAACCUUCCCAACCACGAUUUUUUUUUGUUUGAGGCAUUUCGCCUCGAAAUAAGAAACUGUAUUGAUAUUGGGUAUCGAAUAAAAAUAUUAUAAAGAAAACUAAGUAGUAAAUAGAAAUAGAUAAAAAUGAUAAAUAAAUAGUGGGUUCCAUCGUUUAUAUGGUUACUUUUUAAACGGUGAGGUCUUCUCUAUACACCGGAGCCCCCUCCUUCAUUUAAUCAUUUAAUCAAUGCUAUUGUUAACGUGUACAGUUCACACUCUUUGGCUCUACCCAUGAAUUAUCCAGUAAUAGGCCUUUCACAAGGAGAUCUAUCUAUACAGUAACGGUAUUUAAUUAUGAGGAUUAGUUAAUUAGUUGACCCUAUUAGUCCGUUCUUGCAAAAGAAAGUAGGGGCAUAAAUUUUCGGCCUUUUAAUUUAAAUAAGAUUUCCCUGCUUAAUGGAUAAUCAUUUCCUACCAAUGGGAAAUUCUUUCUCGUUUUAAAUUGAAAAUUGAGGUGAUUGAAUUUGCACCAAUGAAACCAUAAAUUUGAUACACAAUAGACGAAUAUGAUAAAUCUUUUUUUUUAGAUAAUGAAGGGGAUUCCUCCAUUCUAUUCAUCUGUACUGAUCACAGAUAUUGGAAAAUUUUUUCCUUUCUUUUGUCCAAGCUCACGAUCUGAACAAGUCGCACAUACACCCUAGUACAUGUUCCUCGGCGCUGAGGACAUCCCCCAAGAGCGGGGGAUUUGGUGACAUUUCUGAUUGGCUGUCUUGUGUUUCUAAUAAGUUGUUUAAUAGUUGGCAUGUUGAAUCGUAUGCAUAGCAUAAUGGGCUGGUUUAGAUCGAUCCUAACCGGAUGAUUAUGAAUUUUUUCUAUAUGAAUAUUCUAUUAUUUAAUAUUCUAUUAUUUAAUAUUCUAUUAUUUAAUAAAAUAAUAGAAUAUUAAAUGGAAAUUCUGGUAAGAAAAUAAAAUCUCAAAUUGCGAUUUGCAGGAAAAUUCCUGCUAUUUCUUAUGCAACUGCUACAAGAUCAACAAUUCCAUGAGCUUGGGCUUCGGUUGCUGACAUAAAAACAUCUCUUUCCAUGUCUUCGGAUACAACCCAUAAAGGUUUUCCCGUUCUUUGUGCAUAAAUCCUUGUGAGGAUUUCGCGCAGUUUCAGUAGUUCUUCCGCUUCCAGGACAAAUUCUACUAUUUGUGCCUCAUAAUAACCAGAAAUAGGUUGAUGAAUCAUUACCCUGAUGAUAUAAGAAAAAAAAUGGUUAUUCUAUCUCGCAUAAUAAAUAAUAAAGUGACGAGAAGAGAUAAAGAAUAAUAAGAAAAAAAAUAUAAGAAUAAUAAGAAAAAAAAAGAUAGAAUUGAACAACCGUACAGGCAUUGUUUGUGCAUUGCAUACGGCUCCGCAAUAGAAUUCACUUUUACCUUUCCUCGAAGAAAAAUAUAGAGUUUAUCAGGCUUAAAUUCGCAAAUGAUCCAAUAACCACCCUUUCCUUGGGAGGAGUUAAAAAACAAAAAUACUAUGGUGGUCCCGUUGUUUUAUUUCAUCAGUGAUUUAGCAAUCCCAAAGUUUCUUUUUUUUCAAAUAAAAAAAAAGAAUAUAAUCUUUUUUUUGUACUCUUUUAUAACAUAAUCUUUUAUAACAUAAAUAGUGUUAAAAGUCUUCAUAAAUAGUGUUAAAAGUCUUCCGGCGCGAAAACAAAAAAGUUUGUGACGCUGAAACAGGCCUCUGAUAGAAUAAAAUCAGAAAUACCCUUAAUAUCUCAUACUACUCUUUCGAUACAUAAUCUAAUGUUUAAUCUAAUGUUUAAAAAAAAAUUCUUAUAUCUAUAUCGAAUUCGAAAUGCCAUGCUAUUAUUACUUAAUAUUAUAUUUAUAUUUCAUAUGGCGAAGGCAUAGUUUUAUUUUUUCUUUCAAAUAAAAACCCAUUGGCGCCAAGCAUGAGGGAAUGCUAAACGUUUGGUAAUUUUUCCUCCGACCAGAAUAAAAGAUCCCAUUGAAGCAGCUAAUCCCAUGCAUACUGUUUGUACAUCGGGUCGCACAAAUUGCAUAGUAUCAUAAAUAGCUAUUCCGGGUAUUACCCAUCCGCCGGGAGAGUUUAUAAACAAAUACAAAUCUUUUGUCGCGUUUUCUAUACUGAGAUAUACCAUAAGACCAAUAAGUUGAUUCGCGAUCUCGCUAUCAACAUCUUGACCUAAAAAAAGUAAUCUUUCUCGAUAAAGUCGGUUGAUUAGGAUAAAAAUCUAUCCUCUAGAAACCGUACAUGCACCUUUUGAUGCAUAUGGUUCAACAAAAAUCGCGAAAAUAAAAAAAGAAUCAAUGUGUAGAUUCCAGCCCUCUUUUUUGUUUUUUUUUUGAUAGUGAGUACUUUUUAACCUUUUUUUAUUUAUUUUUUUUCUAAUGAAGGGGCUUUUCUUCCAUUUUUCAAGAAAGAUGAGUUUUGACGCGUUUAUCUAGAAAAAAAAUUCAUUAAACUUAUCAAACUAACUUCUCAUUGAUGUAUUUUUUCAUCGAAAUUGAAUUCAAAUCACGAUGGUAUUUUCUUGUUCCUGAAUGGGCUUCUUCAAUUCUUUUAGGUUUGUGCUCUACUCCGAGUAAAGAUCUGCCCGAUUUUUAUUUGCACAUAUAGGGCAAAUGCCCCAAUACCGCGUCUUUUUGUUAUAACUUCUCUUUUUUUUUAUUUAAUUAAUUUCACGCCUUCUGCCAAAUAUUUGACGUAUUCAUUAUAUUUUUCGAUGGAAUAUGAUUAGCAGUUUGAAAUUUUUCCUAAUUUAUAAAUAGAAUAUGAUACAAGAAGGAAUCAUAAUAGAUAUAUUAUCCAUUGGGUUUUCUAAACGGAGCCUGGAUACUUCAUUUUUUUGAUCCAAACAAACCAACCAUAAAUUAUUCUAAUUGAUAAUAUUAAUCUGGGUACCUCAAAAGCCUAGAUCUAAUUGGACUUCAUUGCACUUCACGCUCCAAAUUUUUGAUGAUUUAUUCAAUCUUUCUUGGGCGAAACAGAGGAUAUCUCAAUCGGGGGAGAGAACGGGGGAAUUCCAUAUGACCCAAUAUAUCUGACAAGUCGCACUAUAUGUCAAUCCAAGUUGAAUCGUCUUCCCCAGGAUUUCGAAAAGGGACUUUUGGAACACCAAUAGGCAUUAAAUGAAAGAAAAAAAUUAAGUACUCUAUUUCACUUUAAUGUGAAAACGUAACAAUGAAUUUAUUGUCUUAAUAAUAUUGACCCUUAUAAUAUUAAUAUUUUUUGCGUGGAUUCGAUAAGUUUAUAAAAAAAAAUAAAAUAAAGGAAGACAAAACAAAUAGAGUCAAAUUCUUACGAAUAGGUCCUUUGAGUGAUGAACAAAUUUCUAUACAUUUGCUCAUAUAAAAUGGAGUCAACUCCCCAUUGCGUAUUGGUACUUAUCGGGUAUAGAAUAGAUCUGCUUCUCUUUUCUUUGUUCCUACAAACAGAAUUGUUACAUUAUUAUUUUUACUAAAAAAAAAGAAUAGAAAAAAAAUAUUAAUUCUUUCUCCGAGAUAAUCCACUUAAAAGGGGAGGUCCAUAACAUACUUCCAGUGCAAUAAAGUUACAUAGUGUCUAUUUUUCGUUAAUAAAGGGGUAUUUCCAUGGGUUUGCCUUGGUAUCGUGUUCAUACCGUCGUAUUGAAUGAUCCCGGUCGUUUGCUGUCUGUCCAUAUAAUGCAUACAGCUUUGGUUGCUGGUUGGGCCGGUUCGAUGGCUCUAUAUGAAUUAGCAGUUUUUGAUCCCUCUGACCCCGUUCUCGAUCCAAUGUGGAGACAGGGUAUGUUCGUUAUACCUUUUAUGACUCGUUUAGGAAUAACCAAUUCAUGGGGUGGUUGGAGUAUCACAGGAGGAACUAUAACGAAUCCGGGUAUUUGGAGUUAUGAAGGCGUGGCUGGGGCGCAUAUUGUGUUUUCUGGCUUGUGCUUCUUGGCAGCUAUUUGGCAUUGGGUGUAUUGGGAUCUAGAAAUAUUUUGCGAUGAACGUACAGGAAAACCUUCUUUGGAUUUGCCCAAGAUCUUUGGAAUUCAUUUAUUUCUCUCCGGGGUGGCUUGCUUUGGGUUUGGCGCUUUUCAUGUAACCGGAUUGUAUGGUCCUGGAAUAUGGGUGUCCGACCCUUAUGGACUAACCGGAAAGGUACAACCUGUAAGUCCAGCAUGGGGUGUGGAAGGUUUUGAUCCUUUUGUUCCGGGAGGAAUAGCUUCUCAUCAUAUUGCAGCGGGGACAUUGGGCAUAUUAGCGGGCCUAUUCCAUCUUAGUGUCCGCCCGCCCCAACGUUUAUACAAAGGAUUACGUAUGGGAAAUAUUGAAACUGUCCUUUCCAGUAGUAUCGCGGCUGUCUUUUUUGCAGCUUUUGUUGUUGCUGGAACUAUGUGGUAUGGUUCAGCAACUACCCCGAUUGAAUUAUUUGGUCCCACUCGUUAUCAAUGGGAUCAAGGAUACUUCCAGCAAGAAAUAUAUCGAAGAGUUAGUGCUGGGCUAGCCGAAAAUCAAAGUUUAUCCGAAGCUUGGUCUAAAAUUCCCGAAAAAUUAGCUUUUUAUGAUUACAUCGGCAAUAAUCCGGCAAAAGGUGGGUUGUUCAGAGCAGGCUCAAUGGACAACGGGGAUGGAAUAGCUGUUGGGUGGUUAGGACAUCCUAUCUUUAGAGAUAAAGAAGGGCGUGAACUUUUUGUACGUCGUAUGCCUACUUUUUUUGAAACAUUUCCGGUUGUUUUGGUAGACGGAGAUGGAAUUGUUAGAGCCGAUGUUCCUUUUCGAAGGGCGGAGUCGAAGUAUAGUGUCGAACAAGUAGGUGUAACUGUUGAGUUCUAUGGUGGCGAACUAAACGGAGUCAGUUAUAGUGAUCCUGUUACUGUGAAAAAAUAUGCUAGACGCGCUCAAUUGGGUGAAAUUUUUGAAUUAGAUCGUGCUACUUUGAAAUCCGAUGGUGUUUUUCGUAGCAGCCCAAGGGGUUGGUUUACUUUUGGACAUGCUUCGUUCGCUCUGCUCUUUUUCUUCGGACACAUUUGGCAUGGUGCUCGAACUUUGUUCAGAGAUGUUUUUGCUGGUAUUGAUCCAGAUUUAGAUGCUCAAGUGGAAUUUGGAGCAUUCCAAAAACUUGGAGAUCCGACUACAAGAAGACAAGUAGUCUGAUACAAUAUUUGAGUUCUUAUUUUUCGCCUCUAUUUUCUUUUUGUAAUUUGGCAUAAGGUACGGAGACAUCUUAAUUUGAAUCGCCGCCUUUGAAUCUUGUUCUUUUUUAUCCAGGAGACGAUCCAAAAUAAACAGGUAUGAAAGCUAUAAUUGUAAAUCACGAUUGAAUUUAUGGAAGCAUUGGUUUAUACAUUCCUUUUAGUAUCAACUUUAGGAAUCAUUUUUUUCGCUAUCUUUUUUCGAGAACCGCCUAAAGUUCCAACUAAAAAGGUAAAAUGAUUUUUCGUUAUCUUAAUUGAAGUAAAGAGCCUCCCAAUAUUGGAGGCUCUUUACUUCAACUAGUCCCCGUGUUCCUCGAAUGGAUCUCUUAGUUGUUGAGAGGGUUGCCCAAAAGCAGUAUAUAAGGCAUACCCAGUAAAACUUACAAGUAAACCAGAUAUAGAGAUGGCGACUAGGGUUGCUGUUUCCAUUAUUAUAUAAUUUCAAGACCACAAUGGAUCUAUAAUAAGAUCAUUUAUUUACAACGGAAUCGUAUACAAAGUCAACAGAUCUCAAUUAAUACAAAUAGGAUUUAUGGCUACACAAAGCGUGGAGGGUAGUUCUAGAUCUGGUCCAAGACGAACUAUUGUAGGGGAUUUAUUGAAACCGUUGAAUUCGGAAUACGGUAAAGUAGCUCCCGGAUGGGGAACUACUCCUUUGAUGGGUGUCGCAAUGGCCCUAUUUGCGAUAUUCCUAUCUAUUAUUUUGGAGAUUUAUAAUUCUUCCGUUUUACUAGAUGGAAUUUCAAUGAAUUAGAUUUACAAGAACCACUAAGUCCUAGCUUUUCAAUACAAAACGAAGCAUUUUGGUCUCGGAUUUUUUAGUCUAUUUUGGUUUUGGUAGUUCGAUCGUGAAAUUUAUUUUUUCUGUAUUUCUGGAAUAUGAGUGUGCGGCUUGUUAUAAUUGAUCCUAUUGAUAGUACAGAGAGUGUGUCUGUCAUCUUGAUAGAGAUGAUUUUUUACCUCGUCAGGUAUUUAUUCUAGUAUCUGGAGCACGAAAUAUAUGAAAUAGAUUACGAAGUAUUAGAACUAUGAUUCAUACUUAAUAUUCAGAUCCCGUGACCGGACUCCAAAAAAUUUCAAAGAGUUAUAAGGUAUAAAUUGAAAGAUUUUUCUUCUUUUAAACUUUUAAUUUAUGUUUAAUCAAAGGAUAAACCUUUCUUUUUCUUUGGAUUUUACUCAUUAUAUUUAUAAUCAUUGAAUAAGUGAUGAUACAACGGUUCUUACUCAGGGAAUCUUUAGUUUGAGGGUUUUAUUAAAUCAUCGUGGUUCUAGUAUGAAUCUGAGGUUUCAAUCGAUUUAUAGGAUCUUAACAAGAAAAUUCCUAGCAAUAAGAUUGCGUUACAUAAAAAUAAAAAUACUAAAUCAAGGAAAAAAAUGGGUAAAUAGAAGAUUCAAGAGGCCUGUAACAAUCAACACCAAGAGAUGAAUGAGCCGACUUGAUAUUUUGGCAUUAUAACCACAAAGAAGAGUUUUCGGGUUUUUCUUUUUUCGUAUCGUCAUCUUCAGAGAAAACUGUUGAAUCAUAGGAUUAAGAAGUUUAUAUUACACAUAUCUGUUUCAACUGGUAUUUGGGUGGUUCUGUUUGAGCCGUACGAGAUGAAAUUCUCAUAUACGGUUCUCGGAGGGGGAGUCCUUUUGGUUUACCUAUCUCAAUAAAGUCUAUGAUUGGUUCGAAGAACGUCUCGAGAUUCAGGCAAUUGCAGAUGAUAUAACUAGUAAAUAUGUUCCUCCCCAUGUCAACAUAUUUUAUUGUUUAGGGGGAAUUACGCUUACUUGUUUUUUAGUACAAGUAGCUACGGGGUUUGCUAUGACUUUUUACUACCGUCCGACGGUUACUGAGGCUUUUGCUUCUGUUCAAUACAUAAUGACUGAAGCUAACUUUGGUUGGUUAAUCCGCUCAGUUCAUCGAUGGUCGGCAAGUAUGAUGGUUUUAAUGAUGAUCCUGCACGUAUUUCGUGUGUAUCUCACUGGUGGCUUUAAAAAACCUCGUGAAUUGACUUGGGUUACGGGCGUGGUUCUUGCUGUAUUGACCGCAUCUUUUGGUGUAACUGGUUAUUCCUUACCUUGGGACCAAAUUGGUUAUUGGGCGGUAAAAAUUGUAACAGGCGUGCCGGAAGCUAUUCCUGUAAUAGGAUCACCUUUGGUAGAGUUAUUACGCGGAAGUGCUAGUGUAGGACAAUCCACUUUGACUCGUUUUUAUAGUUUACACACUUUUGUAUUACCUCUUCUUACUGCCGUAUUUAUGUUAAUGCACUUUCCAAUGAUACGUAAGCAAGGUAUUUCAGGCCCUUUAUAGAGAAUAUAGAAUAUAAUAGAGAAUAUAGAUUCUAGAUAUUUGGAAUCAACCAUUGAUCGUUUGGGGGAGGAAGAAUAGUAUUUCAUUGCUACAAAUAUGGAUUAUUGAAAAGAAUAAGACAUGUAUUUGGAUAUUUCCCUUCAACUCCAAAAAAUUUUCAUUUGACAUGAAUAGUUGAAGCGAAUUCUCCUAAGAGAAAAAUGGAUUAUGGGAGUGUGUGACUUGGACUAUUGAUUUGGCCGUGCGGGUAUAUGCCUUUAUCCGCCACAUUGGAAUUAAUAACCAAAUGUGUCUUUGUUCCAACCACUGUGUAAGCCCCAUACAAAGGAUAGGCUGGUUCGCUUGAAGAGAAUCUUUUCUAUGAUCAGAUCCAAUCAUGUUGUGCAUGAACAGGCUCCGUAAAACCCAGUAGAAUAAGUGAUGCGGUAGAAUCUAUAUUAUAUUUUAGCUAUUUUACUUAUUUAUACUUAGUUUUUUUAUUUAUUUCAUUUAUUUAACAUUUACUUAAUUACUAUUACUUAAUACUUUCUUUAUAGUAUGAAAAUGCAGUCAUUUUCUCUGCAUUGACCCGAUUUAUGAUACUAUCGGAGUGAAGUGAAAUAAGGGAUCUAAAGAAUGACAGGGCUAAACUAUAUUAGUAACAAGUAAAUCCUUUGUAUGUAAAAAGUCUCGAUAUUUUUUUGAGAUAAAGGCCAACCGAAAAGUCUGAGACGACCCAAAAAGCACUUGAUCAUGAUCACCUUUUAGGCCUACUUGGGUAUUGAGCAUUUACCUGUAAGAACGAAUUCCUUGCAAUGGAUAAUUGCGGCUCUGGAAAAAGGAAUCCAGUCAAUUUUUUAUUACUUUAUUACAUAAAAUCAUUCAUAUAUGUGUAGACAUGGCUAAUAUAUAGAUAUAGAUAUAGAUUUUAUAACAUCUAGACAUACAAGAAUUUUUUAUAUGGAUCUCUUUGAUUCGUUUGAUUCUUGCUCGAGCCGGAUGAUGAAAAAUUAUCAUGUCCGGUUCUUUCGGAGGAUGGAUCUAUAAGAAUUCACCUAUCCCAAUAACAAAAAAACCUGACUUGAAUGAUCCUGUAUUAAGAGCUAAAUUGGCUAAGGGAAUGGGUCAUAAUUAUUACGGAGAACCUGCAUGGCCCAAUGAUCUUUUAUAUAUUUUUCCAGUAGUAAUUCUAGGUACUAUUGCAUGUAAUGUAGGAUUAGCGGUUCUAGAACCAUCAAUGAUUGGUGAACCUGCGGAUCCAUUUGCAACGCCUUUGGAAAUAUUGCCUGAAUGGUAUUUCUUUCCCGUAUUUCAAAUACUUCGUACAGUACCCAAUAAGUUAUUAGGUGUUCUUUUAAUGGUUUCAGUACCUGCAGGAUUAUUAACAGUACCUUUUUUGGAGAAUGUUAAUAAAUUCCAAAAUCCAUUUCGUCGUCCAGUUGCGACAACCGUCUUUUUGAUUGGUACUGCGGUAGCCCUUUGGUUAGGUAUUGGAGCAACAUUACCUAUUGAUAAAUCCCUAACUUUAGGUCUUUUUCAAAUUGAUUCAAUUGUAAAAUAAAAUAUCAUGACGUGUAUAUCUAGGGAAUAGUCGCUUCAAACAAAGUGAAUUCUCCCUAGAUAACAUCCAUUCAAUUAAAAUUAAAAUUUUGAUCUAUUUCGCGAAUAUAUGGAUUGUGCUAAAGAUUCAAAAUUCAUUUUCAUCUUCUUUAGAAAAAAAAAGAUGAAAAUGAAUAUAAAUCCAUUGGAUUUAUAUUUUAUUCUUUGGUAAAUCAAUUGUGAAAUGUUUUUCUAUUUCUAGAAUACCCAAUAUAUGUUUUACAUCGUCUAUGCGAAAAUGUUCAAUUUUCAUAAGAUCUUCUUGACUCUUAUUCAAAAGAUCCGAUAAUGUAUGUAUAUUGGAUCUUUUGAGGCAAUUAUAGAUCUUAGGAGUCAAUUCUGAUUGGUCAAUAAAAAUGUAUUUCAAUACUAUUUCUUUUUUAUUUUUUCUUAAUUUAGUCAAUUUAUCAUGAAAACAAAAAAGGGGUAAAGUAACCUUGUGUUGAUUUUUUUCUAUUUCUAAAUGUAAGUUUUCUUCUUCUGCAUGUAGAAAAGGAAUAAAAAAAUCAAUCAAAUUACGGGAGGCUUCGUGAAGUGCUUCUUUAGGAGUUAAACUUCCAUUUGUCCAUAUUUCGAGAAAAAGUAUCUCUUGCUUUUCAUUCCCAUUUCCAUAAGAAUGAACACUAUGAUUCGCAUUUCGAACAGGCAUGAAUACAGCAUCUAUAGAAUAACUCCCGUCUUGAACUUGAAAGUUAUUUGUUGGUUUUAUACGAUAGCCACGAUUCCUCUCGAUUUGUAAUCCAAUACACAAAUCAAUUGCUUUCGUUAGGCUAGCGAUAUGCUGUGUAUUAUCAAUGAUUUCCACAAAAGGCGGUAAGAUGAUGUCUUGAGCAGUUACAUAUCCAGGACCCUUGACACAAAUGGAUGCGUCACAAGUUCCAUACAAAUUGCUUCUUAAUACAAUUUCUUUCAAAUUCAUUAAAAUUUCAUGUAUUGAUUCUUGAAUACCUGCUAUAGUAGAAAAUUCGUGUGGUAUUUUCUCAGAUUUUGCACGUGUGAUACAUGUUCCUUCUAUUUCUCCAAGCAAAGCUCUUCGCAUCGCAAUGCCUAUUGUGUCGGCUUGUCCUUUCAUAAGUGGAGACAGAAUAAAGCGUCCAUAAUAAAGACGUUUAUUAUCGGUUCUUGAUUCAAUACAUUUCCACUGCAGUGUCCGAGUGGAUAUUGUUAUUUUCUCUCGAACCAUAAUAAUAUUGAAAUCGUUGAAUUAUUUAUUUCUCUUGAAAUCUCUUCAAUAUUUUUUUUUACACGCGCCUUUUUUUAGGGGGUCGGCAGCCAUUAUGUGGCAUAGGGGUUACAUCCCGGACGAAACUUAAUAGUAUACCACUUCUGCGAAUAGCUCUUAAUGCCGCAUCUCGUCCGAGACCAGGACCCUUUAUCAUGACUUCUGCUCGUUGCAUACCUUGAUCCACUACUGUCCGAAUAGCAUUUCCUGCUGCGGUUUGAGCAGCAAAUGGCGUUCCUCUUCUUGUGCCCCUGAAUCCACAAGUGCCAGCGGAGGACCAAGAAAUCACUCGACCCCGUACAUCUGUAAUGGUCACAAUAGUAUUGUUGAAACUUGCUUGAACAUGAAUAACGCCUUUUGGUAUUUUACGUGAAUUCUUACGUGAACCAAUACGUCCAUUUCUGCGUGAACUAAUUUUUGGUAAAGGUUUUGCCAUAUUUUUUCAUCUCAUAAAUAUAAGUCAGAGUUUUAGUUUUAUGGAUAUAUCCAUUUCAUGUCAAAAUAGAUCUUUUUUUUUAUUUGUAAUCGGAUCCUUUAGAGCGUUCCGCUUAGAAAGAUUAUCCUUGUCUUUGUUUAUGUCUCGGGUUGAAGCAAAUUACUAUAAUUCGCCCCCGUCUACGUAUCAGUCGACAUUUUUCACAAAUUUUACGAACAGAAGCUCUUAUUUUCAUAUUUGCCAUCCCUUAAAAUUCAAAAUUAAAUUUUGAAUAUAUACAUAUUUUUUUUGAAGAAAAUAAGUUUCUUUUAAUUUUGAAAUCUUGAAUUGUAUCCCUAUGAAAGCGAAAGGAAUUUAAAAGUUGAAAAAAACUGCCUAAUCAUUCAAAUUUUUGUUUCGGCGUCUAUAAAUUAGACGCGCUCUGGUCGAAUUAUAAGUACUUACUUCAUUUUUGACACUAUCUGCCGUAGUAUACGUAUAAAACAAAACUACGUUGGAUCUUUCCUGAAAUAUAACCUAAAACAGAUCUUCAUUAUUUAAACGUAAACGAACUUGGAACAUACUAUUGAAAAAGUGAUUUAUUAAGUAAACCUUCCUGAAUCCAUUUUUCUUUUUGUUCUUUCAUUCCAUUAAAAAUAAAUAAAAAUAAAAAAAAAUCCUCUUAAAGUAUCAACUAAUGUAAUUUAAGAGGAAUAAUAUUAGAAACCUGUUCUUUCUCUUUUUUUUUUCACAAAUAGGAAGUCUGGAUACAAUUCGGAUAUCAGAAAGAUUACCAUAUAUAACACAAGAUUUCUCCGCCUAUUCUUUCGAGUCGAGCUUCUCGGUCUGUCAUUAUACCCCGAGAAGUAGAAAGAAUUACAAUGCCCAUCCCGCCCAAAAUUCUAGGAAUUUUUUGAUAGUUAGAAUAGAUUCGUAGACCAGGUCGGCUGAUCCGUUUUAAAUUUAGACUAGUUCUAUAGGGUCCUUUCCUCUUCCUUCUAUGUCGUAGGGUUAAAACCAAAAAUUUUUUGUUGCCCUCCUGAUGUUUCCUGACAUUUUCAAUAAAACCUUCUCUUAAAAGUAUUUUAAUAAUGUUUUCAGUGAUGUUAGUAGAUGCUAUUCGAACGGUUCCUUUUCUAUUUAUGUCAGCAUUUCUUAUAGAGGUUAUUAUGUCAGCAAUAGGAUCCCUACCCAUGAUAAACUAAAAUUAUUAUUUCUCUCUAGUUUUGAUAUGAUCAACAUACUCUAUACUCUUUUUUUUUUUUGUUUUUUAUGAAUUAAAUUAUUUAAGGUAUAUGCGUGAAACACAAUUUACUAAUUAAAUUGAAUUCUAUUUCUUUUUUAUUCAAAUACUAUAACUAUAUCAUGGUCUCGUCUUAAUUUUAUAAUGUUAUAUCUCAUCGUAUAUCUUAUAAUUUUUUGUCUUAUAAUUUUUUGUCUUAUAACACUUCAGGUGCUAAUGAAACUAUUUUAGUAAAAUUUAACUGUCUCAAUUCCCGGGCGAUUGCACCAAAAAUUCGAGUUCCCUUUGGAUUUCCUUCUUGAUCAAUGACAACUGCAGCGUUGUCAUCAUAUCGUAUUAUCAUACCAUUAUCACGUUUGAGUUCUUUACAAGUACGUACAAUUACAGCUCUGAUUACUUCUGAUCUUUCUAGAGGUGAAUUUGGUGCUGCUUCCUUGAUCACAGCAACAAUAACGUCACCGAUAUGAGCAUAUCGGCGAUUACUAGUCCCUAUGAUUCGAAUACACAUCAAUUCUCGAGCUCCGCUGUUAUCCGCUACAUUCAAAUGGGUCUGAGAUUGGAUCAUAUCAUUUUUUUUUUAAUCUGUUAUUUUAAUGCAAAGGAAAAAAAGGAUAUAUUAUUUGUCCAAAAAAAAAAGAAACUUGCGAUUUUUUUUGCAUCCAAAAGGUCUUUUUCUUUUGGUUCUAUAUUCCUAUCCUGAAAUAAUGAAUUGAGUUCGUAUAGGCAUUUUUGAUGCUGCUAUUGAAAUAGCUUUUCUCGCUAUAUUUUCGGCUACUCCGCCCAUUUCAUAAAGUAUUCUACCUGGUUUAACGACAGCUACCCAAUAUUCGGGAGAUCCUUUCCCCGAACCCAUACGUGUUUCCGUAGGUCUUAAAGUAACUGGUUUGUCGGGAAAUAUACGUACCCAUAUUUUUCCACCGCGGCGUGCAUUUCGUGUCAUUGCUCGUCGCCCCGCUUCUAUUUGUCUAGAUGUAAUCCAAGCGGGUUCAAGUGCCUGAAGAGCAUAUCUGCCGAAACAAAUACGAUUACCUCGAAAAGCUAUUCCUUUCAUUCUUCCUCUAUGUUGUUUACGGAAUCGGGUUCUUUUGGGGUUAUAGUUGAUGGUUGUUUCUCAAUUCCAUCUCUACUACAGAACCGGACAUGAGAGUUUCUUCUCAUCCAGCUCCUCGCGAAUGAAAUGAUUAAAAAAAUAUACAUGUGCUUGAUGAAUAAAAAAAAAAAAUAAUAGACUAAAUCGUGGGAUUCUUUGCGAUUUCACUUAAUCUAUUUACUUAAUCUAAUAGAUCUAUUUAUUAGAUUAUUAAAAUGGAAAUUAGUAUUUAUAUAUAUAUUAUUUUUAUUUUAUUUUUUUAUUUUAGAUAAUCUUGUUUUUUGUUAUAAGGUUAAAACGAAUAUAUAUAUAUAAUAUAUAUAUAUAAUAAUUUUAUAUUAUAAUUUUGAUUUUGAUAUCAGAUCGCUAAAAUUUAGAAAUCAAAAAUUUAGAAAUCCAAGAAUAAAAAAAACUUCGUGAGCGAAUAUUUACUCUUUCAAUAUUUAUUUUAUUUGUAGAGGUAACCCAUGAUCUUUCAGAAUAAAUGGAUUGUCUUCUGGCUCCUUUCGCUAUCCUUCCAAUAAAUCAUUAAGACUUGUUUUCAAUAAAAUCUUAUGUAUUUACAGGUUCCGUCGUUCCCAUCGCUUCUCCAUUAAUGGUUAGGUCUUAAUUUUACAAUGGAGCCUUUUUGUUCUUGAGUCAAUCUUCUCAGUCUUUAUUGGCUCGAGGCUCUUGAUUUUUUGUUUUAUAAACCGAUUAGUUUAAUUAUAGAUCAAUUGGUAUUGAUGCUUUACUACAUUAACUUUUAUAUGAUGACUUAUAGACCUUACAUAUUGGAAUCAUAUAUCAUUGAUAUUCUUUUUCUUUCUUUCACCCUUCCACUUAUCUGCAUAAUUUUUUAUUUUGAUUUACAACUCAUAAUCAGAUUGGUUUUUCUUUUGUUUGUGCAAAAAGGGUUUCAAUUGCUACAAUGAUAUGACCAAUAUAUCAUAUCUUGAUUGUUUUUUUGGAUCCAGAUAAUGUAAAGCGAUGAGUUGGUUAUUAGUUGUAUACUUAUUAGUUCAUAGUAUGGGUCAGUCCUUUUUUUAAUCCUGACUCUAAAAAACCAACGAGUCACACACUAAGCAUAGCAAUUAUAUCAAAUUAUCAAUCGAAUUUUUUAUUUUAUUCAACCCUAUAGAAAUAGACUUAGAAUUGCCUAUAGAAAUAGACUUAGAAUUGCUUCUUUUUUUUUGUUUAAUCAAAACAAAAAAAAAGAAUGAAAGAGUUUGUCAUUUUUUGUUCUAUCAAUGGAUAGAAUGGAAAGACAAUUCAAGUAAGGAUUUAUUAUUUCUUGUCUGGAAAUGUCCAAAUUUUUAUGCCUAAUACCCCAUAAAUAGUUCUAACUGUAUACGAACAAUAAUCAAUUUUAGCUCCAAUGGUUUGUAGAGGAACUCUACCUUCUCUAAUCCAUUCGACGCGUGCAAUUUCUUUUCCGUCAAGACGCCCAGCAAUUUGCACUUGAAUUCCUUUUGUAUUGGCCUGUUCAGUUAAUUCAAUAGCUUUUUUCAUUGCUUUGCGAAAUGAAACUCUAUUUUUUAAUUGUCCGGCUAUAAAUUCUCCAAGAAUAUUAGGGUGCCCGUAAGGGUUUGGAAUUCUUGUAAUAGCAAUAUUGAAUUUUCGAUUCACACAAUUAAGUUCUUUUUGUACAUUCAUCUGUAAUUCUUCGAUUCGUUUAGGUCUACUUUCUAUUAAUAAUUUUGGGAAUCCCAUAUAUAUUAUGACCUGAAUCACAUCAAUUCGUUUUUGAAUCUCUAUACGUACAAUUCCUUCAAUACCAGAAGAUAUUUUCGCAUUUUUUUUUACAUAAUUCUUGAUACAGUUUCUUAUUUUUUGAUCUUCUUGUAGACCCUCAGAGUAAUUUUUUGGUUGUGCAAACCAAAGAGAAUGAUGACUUUGGGUUGUACCAAGUCUGAAACCAAGUGGAUUUAUUUUUUGUCCCAUAAUCCCCCAUUAUUUACUAUACAUAUCAUGAAAUGUCAUAUCUGUGGAUUUCAUUUUUUUUAUCCAUCCCGGGUUUUUUAAGCAUAUGUUAUAUUCUUCAU
rnacentral:lncRNA from 1 species